CCACCUGCACCUUCUGCCGCGUGGACACUCCGCCCCUCACUGGCUCCUGCCGGCCUCACCCGUCACAUUGUGUAGGACGCUUGUGACUGCUCUAAAAACACAGGGCUUUCACGCUGUCCCCUCCAAGGUCCCCUCCUGUGUCCAGCACCGUCGUGACUGCCUCCUGCCGGGUUGCCCCUGCCUGGUCCUCAGGUGCCUGUGGUUUAAAUCUCCUGGCGUUGCUGAGCACGGGUCUGGUGUGCAGAUGGAGAUGACUGAUGCGUAGGAGGAAGCUGACGGACAGUUCGUCCCUUCGCCAGCAGCUGUGUUGUGUUCAAAGGUGGAAACAAACCAGCUAGGCUCUCAGUGACCCCACCCAACAGGCAUUUCCUCAACGUGACUGUGACAUCCACAGGGUGGGCCUGCACCUGCCUUGAGCCUCUGCAGCUUGGGAUGCCUCAGCCUGAGGUGCUGGGAUGAUGCCACCUGGGACUGGGUCCCCUGACCUCCUGGGUGCAGGUUUUAGGUGGCCCUAAGGUUUUGGGGUGGUUUGCUUCACAGCAGGAGACAACUCACUGGGGCCCGUGGCACAGCCUGAGGGGUCUCUGGGUUGCCCACAGCUUCCCCAGGAGCUCACACAGGUCAGGCCAAGGGGAAGGGAGCACAGUGCACACCCCCAGGCUCUACGGUCCGAAUGCUUGUGUUCCCAAAAAUUCACAUGGAAUCCUCACCUCCCAGAGUACUCCCCAGCCCCUUCCACCAUGGGAGGACGCGGCACAGGGUGCCGUUACCACCUGUGAAGCACAGCCUCACCAGACACGGAAACUGCUGGAGCAGAGACCUUGGCUUCCAGCCUCCAGCGCCAAGAGGAGCGGAUUCCUGUCGUGGGCCAGCGUGUUCCGCCGUGGCAGCCAGGAUGGACUGAGACCGGGUGGAUGCCAUCCUGACUGCUGACGUUUGGGACGUGAGGCAUCUGGGGGCAUGGGGCAGCCCGCUGGGGUCAGGUGGAGGUCAUGGGGCAGCCCGCUGGGGUCAGGUGGGGUCACGGGGCAGCCCGUUGGGGUCAGGUGGGUGUCACGGGGCAGCCUGCUGGGGUCAGGUGGGGUCACGGGGCAGCCCGUUGGGGUCAGGUGGGUGUCACGGGGCAGCCCGUUGGGGUCAGGUGGGUGUCACGGGGCAGCCCGCUGGGGUCAGUUGGGGUCACGGGGCAGCCCGCUG
rnacentral:lncRNA from 1 species